rnacentral:rRNA from 1 species
AUUGAACGCUGGCGGCAUGCUUUACACAUGCAAGUCGAACGGUAACAGGUUAAGCUGACGAGUGGCGAACGGGUGAGUAAUACAUCGGAACGUGCCCAGACGUGGGGGAUAGCUCGGCGAAAGCCGGAUUAAUACCGCAUAAGCUCUGAGGAGGAAAACGGGGGACCGUAAGGCCUCGCGCGUUUGGAGCGGCCGAUGGCAGAUUAGGUAGUUGGUGGGGUAAAGGCUUACCAAGCCUACGAUCUGUAGCUGGUCUGAGAGGACGACCAGCCACACUGGGACUGAGACACGGCCCAGACUCCUACGGGAGGCAGCAGUGGGGAAUUUUGGACAAUGGGCGAAAGCCUGAUCCAGCAAUGCCGCGUGCAGGAUGAAGGCCUUCGGGUUGUAAACUGCUUUUGUACGGAACGAAAAGGCGCCUACUAAUACUGGGUGUUGAUGACGGUACCGUAAGAAUAAGCACCGGCUAACUACGUGCCAGCCGCCGCCGUAAUAC